rnacentral:rRNA from 1 species
UACAGAGGUCUCAAGCGUUGUUCGGAUUCAUUGGGCGUAAAGGGUGCGUAGGCGGCGCGGUAAGUCGGGUGUGAAAUCUCGGAGCUUAACUCCGAACUGCAUUCGAUACUGCCGUGCUUGAGGACUGGAGAGGAGACUGGAAUUUACGGUGUAGCGGUGAAAUGCGUAGAUAUCGUAAGGAAGACCAGUGGACGGAAGGCGGGUCUCUGGACAGUUCCUGACGCUGAGGCACGAAGGCCAGGGAGCAAACGGG